rnacentral:rRNA from 1 species
CCUACGGGAGGCUGCAGUGGGGAAUAUUGCACAAUGGGGGAAACCCUGAUGCAGCCAUGCCGCGUGUGUGAAGAAGGCCUUCGGGUUGUAAAGCACUUUCAGUCAGGAGGAAGGUGGUGUAGCUAAUAUCUGCACCAAUUGACGUUACUGACAGAAGAAGCACCGGCUAACUCCGUGCCAGCAGCCGCGGUAAUACGGAGGGUGCGAGCGUUAAUCGGAAUUACUGGGCGUAAAGCGUGCGCAGGCGGUUUGUUAAGCGAGAUGUGAAAGCCCCGGGCUCAACCUGGGAUGGUCAUUUCGAACUGGCAAGCUAGAGUCUCGUAGAGGGGGGUAGAAUUCCAGGUGUAGCGGUGAAAUGCGUAGAGAUCUGGAGGAAUACCGGUGGCGAAGGCGGCCCCCUGGACGAAGACUGACGCUCAGGCACGAAAGCGUGGGGAGCAAACAGGAUUAGAUACCCCGGUAGUC